rnacentral:rRNA from 1 species
AUUGAACGCUGGCGGCAGGCCUAACACAUGCAAGUCGAGCGAGCGGCGGACGGGUGAGUAAUGUCUGGGAACCUGCCUGAUGGAGGGGGAUAACGACUGGAAACGGUAGCUAAAACCGCCUACCAUCAGAUGUGCCCAGAUGGGAUUAGCUAGUAGGUGGGGUAACGGCUCACCUAGGCGACGAUCCCUAGCUGGUCUGAGCGGAUGACCAGCCACACUGGAACUGAGACACGGUCCAGACUCCUACGGGAGGCAGCAGGGGGGAAUAUUGCACAAUGGGCGCAAGCCUGAGGCAGCCAGGCCGCGUGAGUGAAGAAGGCUUUCGGGUUGUAAAACACUUUCAGCGGAGAGGCGUUACCCGCAGAAGAAGCACCGGCUAACUCCGUGCCAGGAGCCGCGGUAAUUC